UUAAGCUCAUGUUCAAUUUGUAAUGCCUCUCCCUCUCUGUCACACAGGAAGCUGUAUGGAAGUUGGCUAUACCCCUCUCAUCUGUCAAGAAACGCCUGUUGGCGUUGUGGUGCCCAACAUUUGUAUCCAGUGCUGCUCUCUUCUUUUCCGCUGCCCAUCCGUCCAGUUGGCCUGCCAUUCGAGGCCAGAAAUGGUGAGGUGUUUUGAGAGGUUGCUAAUGGCGCCCUCUUGUGGCCGAUUUAAGGCCAAGCACCGUCUGUCUAUGUCUGUGUGUGUGUCUUGUGGAACAAAUGUCAGGCCCCUCUCCAGCAGGCUCAGCUGUGUGGCAGUUGGCCAAAAGAGCUCAGAAAGGUUGAGGACAUUUGAGUGGGAAGAGCCACUGUCCUCCCUUCUGUUGUGCGUGUGUGAGGCAGGAGGCUCGAGCCUCCUGACCUCAGUGCUCUGGUUGGAGUUGGGGCCUACUGUAAAUUUAAGCUCAGCUUUUGACACCAGAGGUCGAAGAUGCUGUGUGCCGUGGCCGUGGUCCAAUGGAUGUUAUCUGCUCUGGUUCUGAACCGGUCCUGUGGGAUUCUAGGCAAUGAAGCCCGCCCAAAGUGCCCCUGCCGUGAGGACUCCAGCCGCACUGCUACCGAGGUGUUUUUGGAGCCUGGACCGAUCAAGGUGUCUGGGCGGCUGGCUCCCUGGCAGGGGGGCGGAUGGCACGGCUGAGUGACCUGGAGGACAGAGGUCAGCAGAGGAUGGGGAAAGCUGGUCAAUGUCACCUGUGGACUUGCUGGUUUGAUGAACCCGGACAGCUUUCUGACCUGCCUCAUCAUGCCUGCGGGAGGAGUGCCGGUAGAUAUGGCCCGGUAAGGAGUUGUGGGUGUAAGUGUUAUUGUGUGAGCCCUCUGGAUUUUCCUCUCUGUGGCCUAGGUCACAUUGAGCAACAGUCUCCCCAUAGUGAGCCCCACCGUCCAUAUUGGAGGUCCUACCUUUAGCCUUGUUGUGG